GAUGAACGCUGGCGGCGUGCUUAACACAUGCAAGUCGAGCGAGUGAGUUUUUCGGAACGAACUAGCGGCGGACGGGUGAGUAACACGUGGGCAACCUGCCUCAUAGAGGGGAAUAGCCUCCCGAAAGGGAGAUUAAUACCGCAUAAAAUUAUCGAGUGGCAUCACACGAUAAUCAAAGGAGUAAUCCGCUAUGAGAUGGGCCCGCGGCGCAUUAGCUAGUUGGUGAGGUAACGGCUCACCAAGGCGACGAUGCGUAGCCGACCUGAGAGGGUGAUCGGCCACAUUGGGACUGAGACACGGCCCAGACUCCUACGGGAGGCAGCAGUGGGGAAUAUUGCACAAUGGGGAAACCCUGAUGCAGCAACGCCGCGUGAGUGAUGAAGGUCUUCGGAUUGUAAAGCUCUGUCUUUGGGACGAUAAUGACGGUACCCAAGGAGGAAGCCACGGCUAACUACGUGCCAGCAGCCGCAGUAA
rnacentral:rRNA from 1 species